rnacentral:misc_RNA from 1 species
GUCCUUAAUAGUGCAUCAGUUGAAUAAUAGCUAUUUGAUAUAUUUAUUGAACGAGUUUAGAGUAGCUAUUAGAUAUAAAACCUCUAUCGGCUAUCCCAAACCUUUAAUCCAAGCACCACCUAAAACUCAAUAAUUCAGCUUUUUCUUGAUCGAGCUGUUCGUACCUUUUCAUGCUAUGAGUCCUAUUGAUUUAUUGCUGCAUCAGCUGGGAGAAGUCUCUUUUUAGGAUUGCUGAUAUAUUGGUUUACCUUUACUGUAUUUAUUCAUCUUAGCAUUAGUGUCUAGUGGUCUUUGGGUUUUCUUCAGUUCCCUAGUGGCUAUAUUUUGUUAUGUCUUUUUGGCAUUGUGUUCUAGCUCUUGAUCUCUUUAUUAUUCUUGGAUCUUUAAUAUAUCUUUUUGCGUAUAUAAAAUUAAUAAAUCGGCUCAAGGAACAGCAGUCUACUCUACCCAUCCCAAAUACAAGGUCCAAAACCUAAAGAAAAGCCUAGCUUGGUAGCAGAGGUAAUGUGUGCGUACAAGCUUGGUGCAAGCAAAGGAAGUGAGGCCUCAUCCCAGUGCCAUAAAACCCGUAAGGUUAAACUGCUGGAACACCUUCGAAAAAAUCACGGGACAUCAAAUUAGCACCAAAGAGGACAGUGGUGAUAGAGCUUUUCAACGUCUCUCUCAUACCUUCCGGGUCAAUCAUUUAGUCAGGACCUCAAGAGCUACCACCACUAGAAGAGACUUAUCCUCACACCAUGCAAGAAUAGAAGCUCCCGCCAACAACUUCCCAUAAUCACUUGCAAGACAUACAUACUGAGGAAAAAAAGAAAAAAACCAAGCAAUUCACAUAAACUCAAAGUUGCAACUAAAUACUACUAGCAGGUUGAAGAAUAAACCUUAACCUAUAAACGAUACUUGCAAUCAAAGAAGAAAUUGAAAAGUAUAUACAGAACCCACCCAGAGAUGAGGAGGGAGAGUCCACAUUUGAACUAGGGAUGACACCACCAAUGGAGAGGAGUUUUAGAAAAGGUUUCCGUAAAAGGAAUUAAUUAAUCAGAAUGACACCACCAAGAAUAUCAUCAAAUAUACAAUAAGCAAAAUCAAAAUACUUCCAACCAACUUGACAUAACCUAGCUAAUUACCGCCACCGCCCCCACAGCCACCACUUCCACAACCGCCACCUACGCCAUCAUGUCCAACAACUCCUCCAGAAUUAACAUCACUGCUGGCACCCCUCUCAUUGCCCUUUUUCUUGCGAGAUUUGUGAGAGUCGUCAUCAUCAGCACAAGCAAAAUGGAGAGCUGAUGUAAUUGCGAGGGACAUAACAAACAUGAAAAGCAAGAAUAAUAAGGCUUCAGAGAUGUGUGCUUCGUCCUCACUUAACAUAACAACAAACUCUCUUGCCAUUUUUUUUUCUUGUG